rnacentral:rRNA from 1 species
GACGAACGCUGGCGGCGUGCUUAACACAUGCAAGUCGAACGGAAAGGCCCUGCUUUUGUGGGGUGCUCGAGUGGCGAACGGGUGAGUAACACGUGAGUAACCUGCCCUUGACUUUGGGAUAACUUCAGGAAACUGGGGCUAAUACCGGAUAGGAGCUCCUGCUGCAUGGUGGGGGUUGGAAAGUUUCGGCGGUUGGGGAUGGACUCGCGGCUUAUCAGCUUGUUGGUGGGGUAGUGGCUUACCAAGGCUUUGACGGGUAGCCGGCCUGAGAGGGUGACCGGCCACAUUGGGACUGAGAUACGGCCCAGACUCCUACGGGAGGCAGCAGUGGGGAAGAUUGCACAAUGGGCGGAAGCCGGAUGCAGCAACGCCGCGUGCGGGAGGACGGCCUUCGGGUUGUAAACCGCUUUCGCCUGUGACGAAGCGUGAGUGACGGUAAUGGGUAAAGAAGCACCGGCUAACUACGUG